rnacentral:misc_RNA from 1 species
AAGUAGCAUGUGUGCAUGACGAAAGUUGUUUGUAAUUUGUAGAAUCAGAGAUGGCGACAGCAGCUGUCAAAGAAGAGCCUAUCGAGGAAGUGGACUUUGAAACAAGGUUUUGCAUACUUUUCAGAACUGAAUUUAAGGUUUCCACGUAAAUUCUGAAUAAAAAAUAAUAUAAAGUAAAGGUGUAUUUAUGGUAUUUAACAAACUACUAAACUGUCUGCAAAGCAUAGAUAAUCAAUAAGUUGAAUUUUCUUUUACAUUUAAUUGCUGUGCAAGUGUCCUAAUAUCUUUGCAAGAUUUAGCCGUGAAUUCAUCACCAGCUUCAUGAAGUUUAGGGAUACAGACACAAAUUUUAAAGUGUAACCUUCAGCUUAAAAACUGCGCAUGAAGCCUUCUUUGCCUUUGAAGUCAUACUAUAACCUGUCUCAUAUUACCUUUUCUGUCUUUUUUUGACAAUUUUGUUAAAAAUACACAUACAUGUCAGUUAAUGAAAAUUAAGACUUGUUCGGGUCAAAGAAGAACAACGUGGGGCGAAAAUUUUAAUAUUUCUUCAUUGCCAUAUCAUUCCAUUUUUUCCCUGAGAAAUUCACCGUAAUGAAAACAGAUUUCUUACAGAAAUUUUUUAUUGGAAAACCUUACUCGCAUAAUCUUUCAGUGUUAUUAUCCAAGAAAUUUCAUAUCAUUUGCAAUACAAAAGCUCUGUAGACUUUAUAUAUAGCCACUUUCUUUAACCUGAGAAGAUGAAGGGGACAUUUCUUAAUUCUAGUUAAUUAGUAUUAGAUUGCACAGAAAGGUUGAUCGAGUUAGAAGAUCAAAAUUUGAAAAAGGAUAUACUGUAAUUAGAGUAUUGCCAAAGCAAGCAUGAUAGCACAACAAAAAUCAUUUCGUCUUUUAUAGAUUUAUUAUGCUGUGUCAGGCCUCUCCAGAGGGAAUCACAGAUAAUGUGAUUCAGAAGGAGCUUCCCCAGUGUGACACCAAACAGAGAAUGACCAUUGUCAACAGACUGCUCUCCAUGGUAACAGAAAAUUUGCAAAUACAUUGUACAUUGUAUUUCAUCUGCAUAUCUUAAUUCUUUAAGUUAUUUUGAAAAAAGGUAGUGAGUGGUUAUUGUGUGAAGAAAAUCAUGAAGCCAUUUAUUUGUUGAUGGCUUGGUACUUUAAUUUACAAUGAGUUAUGCAUGUUAACAGCCCAAUCCAAUACAGAAAACUGCAAAAUACAAUGUAGUAUAAUUUGUUGGGGACCCGGCCUGAAUUGUAGAUGCCUUUGGUAUCCCUCACUGGUGUUAAUACAGAAAGGUUGUGUAUGGUAAUUGAAUUACUACCUUUUUGGUGAUUCCGUUGUAUUUGAAACUGAGAAAAUCCAUAAACCCAUGAACUUUAAUGUUGUUAAUGCUUAAUUUAUAUGCUAGCUGAUAAUCAGUAUUUAUUACAACUCUUUGGCAUUAUAACUGUACAUGCCAACUCUCUGAUUCUAAGGGGAUUAUCCCAAUUUUAUCUACCUUGGUUGUCGAAAAGGCAAAUCCCACUUUCAUGAUUAAGAUUUAAAAAUGCCCAGAAAUCCU